GACGAACGCUGGCGGCGUGCUUAACACAUGCAAGUCGAACGGAAAGGCCCUGCUUUUGUGGGGUGCUCGAGUGGCGAACGGGUGAGUAACACGUGAGUAACCUGCCCUUGACUUUGGGAUAACUUCAGGAAACUGGGGCUAAUACCGGAUAGGAGCUCCUGCUGCAUGGUGGGGGUUGGAAAGUUUCGGCGGUUGGGGAUGGACUCGCGGCUUAUCAGCUUGUUGGUGGGGUAGUGGCUUACCAAGGCUUUGACGGGUAGCCGGCCUGAGAGGGUGACCGGCCACAUUGGGACUGAGAUACGGCCCACACUCAUACGGGAGGGAGGAGUGGGGAAUAUUGCACAAUGGGCGGAGGCCUGAUGCAGCAACGCCGCGUGCGGGAUGACGGCCUUCGGGUUGUAAACCGCUUUCGCCUGUGACGAAGCGUGAGUGACGGUAAUGGGUAAAGAAGCACCGGCUAAUUACGU
rnacentral:rRNA from 1 species